GCCCAGCGGUGGUGAUUAGGGGUUGUUCUUACUCUCCCUUGCAAUUAUUUUGUACUUGUAGGGGUGCAUGUAGGCACGGUCCUUGUGAUGCGGUACGUGAUGGUGUGUGAGUGGUAUUUGGUUUGUGUGGUUGGCGGGCUCUUUGCUUGUGCAUUGGACCGUUCACCAACAUACCUUUUCAUUGUAUGCUGCAAGUGCACCAUUUUGCCUUGGGCGACGUGUGGUCCCUAUGUUGGAUUCCGAUUAACGGUAUUGUUGUUGUCCCUUUAAAGAGUGAUAUUCGCUCUACGUCCGUAAAAGGAGGUCGAGCGGACCAUGAAACUUGACUCGUUAUCCUCCUGUUUUGUGAAAACAAGCAUGAUAGGGUUGGAUUAUGAUCUCAAGUUGGGCCCUAGGAUACAGAAAGUUGUGUGGGAGUUGAUGUAAAAACGUCGCAAACCCAAAGCGUUGGUACGCUAAUGAUGGAUGACAUUCGAGUGUGUUGUGAUUCUUUCAUUCUAGAAAGGUUCAUGCUCGCCGAUGUCGACCAAGGAGUGCUACCUGGUUGAUCCUGCCAGUAGUCAUAUGCUUGUCUCAAAGAUUAAGCCAUGCAUGUGUAAGUAUGAACUAAUUCAGACUGUGAAAC
rnacentral:misc_RNA from 1 species